CCACCAAGAUGUGAUAAUAUCCUUUUUGGAGAAGAUGGGAUUCAAACCCACUACCUUGUCUCAGCAGUGGUGGCCCCAACACCAAGUGCCUACUUGAGAAAGCAUUCCAUGCACAGCGCUUACCACUACGCCAUCCACCCCAAGAGCGGCCGAACUGCGAGGGAGGAGUCUGCAUAACCCUUUGUAGGGAUAAUUAAGCUUUUGUAACCAUCUUCAACUCUUUCCUUGCUACAUUCGACUAGACGACCCCCGCCGAGGAACGAAAAAUCGAGAACUUGACGCAAGGUUCGACACCCGCCCCCCCCAACACUGUUUCCAGUCUUUUCCCCCAGGAGACAGAACCAAAUCUAUCCGAUCUCGUAUAAAGUAUCCUGGACGUUAUCUCCGGAGCGAUUCAAGUUCCAUCUCAACGGCCGGCUCCGUAACGUGUUCUUGCAUGGAUCAUGGCCUGCUAGUGGCAUCGGCCCGAAAAACGAAAAGUGAUCAACGGUGGAGAAUAUCGCAGUACAGAGCACAUUCAUUUAAUGCGCGUGAUGCCGAUACCAGUCCCAGCAGGAGAGCUGAACUGAAUCGACAUUGUCAAAGCUCCCGGCAUCCUUCCGCCUGAACAAGUCGAUGCUGACGAUAUUACGGAUGGAUGACAUUUUGCAUACAGAUGUGCUUACGGGCGGAUUGCCAAAACUCUAAAAACGAAAACAAAACUUUCUACGUAUAAAAAUUGGCGAAAAUCCACCAACUCCAGACAAUCAUAUUAUCAUAGCAAUGUCCAGGAAUCGAUUUAAGAUGGGUCAAUAGCUAAAAGAAGCGCGAAUAAUAACUUAAAACUAACCAUAAAAGUAAAAAAAGGGGCUCGCAGGUUGAGAUAUCAUACGUUGGCAAUAUAUUCAUUUCGCUCAAAUUUUCUCGUUCUGCUUUUGUUCGACUCGGGUAUGUUAAUUCUUUUGCAUUCGCUGUCAAACAACUAAGAAGUGGACAAGGGUAUAUAUAGGUGAAAUAUAUGUACAUAUACAGAUGGCAGGGGAGAGGAGAGUAUCGAUAGGAGGAGGGGAGAUUUAGCUGGGAGGCCGCUGAGUAGAGUGGUAUGUAAUGUGGCAGAGAUGUCAAUUUUUUUUAUUUAUUAUUUAUUUAUUUAUUUUUUUUUAAAAAUUUUUUUUCCCCACCUUCUUUUCCUCCGCUUCUUUUUUCUUGUCCGUCUGGUCACCACGGUUGGCCGGUCUCGUCCAAUGGGAAAGUAAAAAAAAUAUCAUCCCAAAUAUUUCCCAGAACAGCAAGUUCGUCGGGCUGGAACAUGAAUUGCAUAUUCUGGUUCGACAUAAAGGCCUGUUGAGGAUCCAUUUCCGCAUGCUGUGGAUUUCCAAUCCCACCUGGGUCCGCGGGAACGUAACCCUGAGUCGGAUUCUGGGGGUUCUGGUUAUGGGAUGGGCCCUGGGACGAUAAAGGUAGGUUUGGCGCUGUGGGGAAAAUACCCAUGCCCGCGGAGGGCGGGAAGGGGGUCCAGUGAUCACUCUGGGAGACUGUGUUACUAGCAGCGUCGGAAGUGGCGGUUGAUGGUGGGUGGUUCGGGAGAGAAGUGGGAUGUGCAUCGGUGCGGAUAUUCUGAGGGGAUAAGUUUGAAGGGCUGUGGUGGGAGUGUUGGGUCUCUGGACCACCCACGGUUGUGUGAGUCUGGAGAUGUAAGGGUGUUGGUUCUGAGUUACUAGUAUCCUGAGGUGAAAUAGAUAUAUCAGUUUCUUAAGUUUUCAUAAAACAAACCUACAUGAGAAAUACUGAUGGUUUCUUGGGAAUUCAAACUCUCAAAACACAAACGGAAGACAACUACAAAAAUCCCAGUACGAACCAGAUUCUGCUUCGCGCUCUGUGAUUCCGAUUCCCGUGGCUCCGGUGCCAAAUACGCCCGAAUAUCUUUCGGUUGGAAAAAGUUGUACGGGGGACCACUACCCGUAAUUGGCUUUCCUUCCUUCCGCUUAAUAAACCAAGUUUUUAACAUCCCCAACAUCAGGGCGAAUCUGGAUGUUACCCGUCCGGAAAUACGAUCCCCAGAGUCCUUCAAUUGUGCAAUGACCUUGGUGAGGAAGUAUUCAAUCUUGAAGUCUGUUGGAUUGAAUACUUGACCCAAUCGAGUGGCAGGAUACGACGCGGCGGUAUGUAGUUUGAUAAGAGCGACAGAGGCGUAUGCUGUACGGACGAAGUGGAUGGUGGGGAUAGAUUGGAUAGUUAAAUAAUCGAGGGAGAUAAACGUCUCAAAUGCGUCAUGGAUGGACGUGAGACAGACGGUUAGUGCGUCGACGUGGGCGGGGGUUCCCAAGUCGAUCGGAUUUUCGGUGCUAAGGCUAUUUAAAAAAGGAGGUUUGAAAUCGUCGAUAUUGUGGUCGGCGUGCAUGCCGAUUUCAUGCAUGUAGACGUUGAGAAUGAGCUGGUAGUAGUGCAUGAUAGGAGAAUAGCACUCGGGCGGAACCUCUUUUCGCCAUUCCGCCAACCGUCUUUCGAAUCCCUUUAAAGCAUACUGACUUUUGGGGUCCGUUAUGUCAACGUUCGUAACGGGAUCAUCCAUUGAAAACUGGAACAGGACCUCUUCGCCAAGGUGAGCCAGUUUCACCCAUUGAACGAGUGUUUUAUC
rnacentral:sRNA from 2 species